rnacentral:rRNA from 1 species
AAGCCUUGGGCUCAACCUAAGAAUUGCUUUUGAAACUACUAAGCUUGAGUACUGUAGGGGGUAGCGGAACUCCUAGUGUAGGGGUGAAAUUCGUAGAUAUUAGGAGGAACACCGGAGGCGAAAGCGGUUAUCUGGACAGUCACUGACGCUGUUGCACGAAAGCGUGGGGAGCAAACAGGAUUAGAUACCCUGGUAGUCCACGCAGUAAACGAUGAGUGCUAGAUGUUGGGAUUUA